AUGAAUAUGCAAAGUGAACAAGUAGUCAUAUUUUGCGAACCAAAAUAUCAUUAAGCUCAUGCUAUUAUUCUAAACGUAUCUGUUGGAUAAUAGUCUAUAGGAUUUAUGUUAUUGGACUCAUAACAGGAGUUCCACAUAGAAUGAGAGAUGCCUUAGAAGUAUGUUUAUAAGCGGGGGCAAUCCUCCAAGCCGGUUUUGUAAGGUCGAGUUAAAC
rnacentral:lncRNA from 1 species